GGCCAAGCCUCGGCCUCCACUGCACCUGCUGCGGAGUGGCACCUUUGCCUGCAAGGCCCUCUACCCCAUGGCCCAGUGUCAUCUCAGCAGGGUCUUUGGCCACUCAGGAGGCCCUUGUGGUGGGUUGCUCAGUACCAGGAGGAGCUGUCACGCUGGUACCACAGUCUGACUUGGGCUAUCAGCAGCCAGAAAAACUAGAGGAAUCUUAUAGAUUCCAGAACUCAGGAUACCUCAGGGAUAGGUCACAGCCAAGAGUACAAAGGAAUCUUCAGUACUGAACAAAACAGAACCCUUCAUGAUUUGACAAAGGUCACUUUCUGUUUGCCUGGACCAAGCUACUCCAGAUC
rnacentral:lncRNA from 1 species